rnacentral:tRNA from 8 species
GGGUCGUUAGCUCAGUCGGUAGAGCACCGGACUUUUAAUCCGUUGGUCGCGCGUUCGAGCCGCGCACGACCCACCA